rnacentral:misc_RNA from 1 species
CAGUAGUCACCCAGGUUGCCGCAAGGCCUCCUGGGUAACCUACCACCCUUUGUUUAUUACACUUUGUUGCUUUGGCAAGCCUGCCCUCGGGCUGCUGGCUCCGGCCGGCGAGCGCUUGCCAGAGGACCUAAACUCUGAAAUACAGUGUCGUCUGAGUACUAUUUAAUAGUUA